CUGGAUAUUUUUUUGUCACACCUUCCAAAUCGUGUAGAAGAAACGCUUACAAAAAGAAGAAAGAGACCUGGUUUGCCUUCCUUGCUGGCGUCCUUGUCAUCUCCAACCCGCCCACAGGUAUUGCAACUCCUUCCCAUCUGGUUUCCUCCUAUGAGAUAUUUUCUUCACUUGAGCUUUAGAAACAUUUAUUUAAGUGGUUACUGGUUGCUCCAGAAAUUUGAUAUUAAUAUGAUUUUGAUAUAGCCAUGAUGGCUCCUGUGUAGUUGUUUGGUUUGGUAUUUGAUUGUAAACUCUGGUUUGGUAUUUUUAGUCGCAUGUUUCAGUGGAAGAAGAAAAAAUAGUGUCAAAGUAGAAUGCACAUCGUUGUGGCAUAGUCGACUAUGUCGUAUGAGAAGAUUUGAUCAGAUGGUCCUUUUUUAUUCUUUCUGAUUUUCUAUAGAUAGUUGGGUUUUCGGAUACAAAUAUAAUUUUGGUAAUCCCAUGAGUUUUUGUCAAUGCCAGGUUUAAUUGUUGACAUAGUAUUGAACAUUUAGUUCAGUUAAAUAUCAUGACAGAUGGCUUCCUUUAUUUAUGUCCAAAUUAAAAAUCAUAUGCAAAUAGACUUGUGCAAGAAAUAAAUUUUGAAUUUGUUUUGGUCCAUUGUCUCAGAUCACACUGAUUCCACUCUUUUUAGGACUCCAGUAGAAACUGCAUGUACAAAUAAUAAUAUACAUUUACAUUGAACUUUGUUCUGUGUAAGUAUGAGUAAAUGCAUUGAUGUGUUCUCACUCUUUCUAGGACUAUAAUAGCAACUACAGUUUGACAGCGCCAAGGAGGCGCUACCCGAUAUACAUCAAUGAUGAUGAAGGUAUAUACAUAUACAUUAUGUUGGAGAGGGAGUAGAAGAGUGGGGAGGGUGAAACAUAUGCCUUGUGCAUGCGUGAACCAAGCAAUGCAUUUGUGCCUUCUUUUUCUAUGUGUAUUUGCUCACCAUCUGUCAUGUUAAGUUGCGGACUAGCUAUUUAACAUUGUGUGCAUAGUUCAAACAUUUCCAUCUUUGAUAAAAUCUUCUUGAUCCAUGGUAGGUUGGUGCACCAGACACGACACCAGAAGUUUCACUACUGCAUAAGUGCGUCUUCAAGGUGACGAGGUGGACGGUAAGGUAUAUGCUUCUACUUGCCUCCGGUGCUUUCUAUUUGAUACAUCAGUACUUCAUAAGUUGGUCUGACUGUUUUCCCUCUCCGUAGUGAACUGCGGGAUGUGCCGUUGGCUGAUGAUGUGCUCUCCAUUAAAACCAAGAAGGCCAUGCGCCACUGAAACCAGAGAGGUCAGAUGUUGUUAUGUGCUCUCCCUUUUUGUACGCCUGUUUGAUCUUCUCUUUCUCACUUCAAUGACUCUUGCGAUGAGCAUCUUGAUUAUGUACGGGUUGGAAAUCGAUAUAUGCAGGACCUUAUCCUUUUGUUUGUGGAUGCGUGAAGAAAGGAUGGUUGGCUAAGGGGGUGUCUCUUCUAGGACAGUGUCACGUGGCUCUGUUAGCUUCGAUUUUAUGGCGCCCUGUUGUCCGAUAUACAUUUAUUUAUGGAUUGGACGCAUCUGGUUAGUUCAUGUUGUUAUGUUGUUCAAGAAUAAGCACAUGUUGCAGUUAGUAUGCUACUCUAUGUAACCUCUUUGUCCUUGGGAUUUCCUUUGCAGCAAACUAAAUGGAUUCUAAAUGCUACCUUGGUCAUUAUUCUUUGUACAAUGCAUGCAGCAGUCUGCGAGUGUUU
rnacentral:lncRNA from 1 species